rnacentral:rRNA from 1 species
AUUGAACGCUGGCGGCAUGCCUAACACAUGCAAGUCGAACGGUAACGCGGAGAGCUUGCUCUCUGGCGACGAGUGGCGGACGGGUGAGUAAUACUUAGGAAUCUGCCCAGUAGUGGGGGACAACAUUCGGAAACGGAUGCUAAUACCGCAUACGCACUACGGUGGAAAGUGGGGGACCUUCGGGCCUCACGCUAUUGGAUGAGCCUAAGUCGGAUUAGCUUGUUGGUAGGGUAAUGGCCUACCAAGGCGACGAUCCGUAGCUGGUCUGAGAGGACGAUCAGCCACACUGGGACUGAGACACGGCCCAGACUCCUACGGGAGGCAGCAGUGGGGAAUAUUGGACAAUGGGGGCAACCCUGAUCCAGCAAUGCCGCGUGUGUGAAGAAGGCCUGCGGGUUGUAAAGCACUUUCAGUAGAGAAGAAAAGCCUAGGGUUAAUACCCCUGAGUCUUGACGUAACCUACAGAAGAAGCACCGGCUAACUCCGUG